GACGAACGCUGGCGGCGUGCUUAACACAUGCAAGUCGAACGGAAAGGCCUUUUCGGCGGUACUCGAGUGGCGAACGGGUGAGUAACACGUGGGUGAUCUGCCCUGCACUCUGGGAUAAGCCUGGGAAACUGGGUCUAAUACCGGAUAGGACCGCACUUUAGUGUGUGUGGUGGAAAGUUUUUUCGGUGUAGGAUGAGCCCGCGGCCUAUCAGCUUGUUGGUGGGGUAAUGGCCUACCAAGGCGGCGACGGGUAGCCGGACUGAGAGGUUGGUCGGCCACAUUGGGACUGAGACACGGACCAGAAAGCUAAGGGAGAAAGAAGUGGGGAAUAUUGCACAAUGGGCGAAAGCAUGAUGCAGCGACGCCGCGUGGGGGAUGACGGCCUUCGGGUUGUAAACUCCUUGAGCCAGGGACGAAGCGUUUUGUGAAGGUACCUGGAGAAGAAGCACCGGCUAACUACGUG
rnacentral:rRNA from 1 species